GCCUGGCUGGCUCAGUUGGUGGAGCAUGUGACUCUUGAUCUUGGGGUUGUGGGUUCGAGCCCCAUCUUAGGGG
rnacentral:tRNA from 1 species